rnacentral:rRNA from 1 species
UACGUAGGUCCCGAGCGUUGUCCGGAUUUAUUGGGCGUAAAGCGAGCGCAGGUAGUUUAUUAAGUCUGGUGUAAAAGGCAGUGGCUCAACCAUUGUAUGCAUUGGAAACUGGUAGACUUGAGUGCAGGAGAGGAGAGUGGAAUUCCAUGUGUAGCGGUGAAAUGCGUAGAUAUAUGGAGGAGCACCGGUGGCGAAGGCGGCUCUCUGGCCUGUAACUGACACUGAGGCUCGAAAGCGUGGGGAGCAAACAGG